rnacentral:rRNA from 1 species
GGGAAUUUUGGGCAAUGGGCGAAAGCCUGACCCAGCAACGCCGCGUGAGGGAUGAAGUAUUUCGGUAUGUAAACCUCGAAAGAAUGGGAAGAAUAAAUGACGGUACCAUUUAUAAGCUCCGGCUAACUACGUGCCAGCAGCCGCGGUAAUACGUAGGGAGCAAGCGUUGUUCGGAUUUACUGGGCGUAAAGGGCGCGUAGGCGGCGCGGUAAGUCACUUGUGAAAUCUCUGAGCUUAACUCAGAACGGCCAAGUGAUACUGCUGUGCUAGAGUGCGGAAGAGGCAACCGGAAUUCUUGGUGUAGCGGUGGAAUGCGUAGAUAUCAAGAGGAACACCUGAGGCGAAGGCGGGUUGCUGGGCCGACACUGACGCUGAUGCGCGAAAGCCAGGGGAGCAAACG